rnacentral:rRNA from 1 species
UACGAAGGGGGCUAGCGUUGCUCGGAAUCACUGGGCGUAAAGCGCACGUAGGCGGAUUGCUAAGUCAGGGGUGAAAUCCUGGAGCUCAACUCCAGAACUGCCUUUGAUACUGAAGAUCUUGAGUCCGGGAGAGGUGAGUGGAACUGCGAGUGUAGAGGUGAAAUUCGUAGAUAUUCGCAAAGAACACCAGUGGCGAAGGGCGGCUCACUGGCCCGGUACUGACGCUG